GACGAACCGUGCGAACGUUGUUCGGAAUCACUGGGCUUAAAGGGCGCGUAGGCGGACUGCCAAGUCCGGGGUGAAAUCUUUCGGCUCAACCGGAAAAUAGCCUCGGAGACUGGCGGUCUAGAGUGAGGUAGGGGCAGCUGGAACUUCCGGUGGAGCGGUGAAAUGCGUUGAUAUCGGAAGGAACGCCGGUGGCGAAAGCGAGCUGCUGGACCUUUUCUGACGCUGAGGCGCGAAAGCCAGGGGAGCAAACGGG
rnacentral:rRNA from 1 species